AAAGUGGGUAAACUGCUUGGCAGCUAGAUUAUAGCACCUAUCAUGUAAUCUCUGGUCUUAAGUCUUAACUAUGACUAUACACUGGGCUUUCUAACUUUUAUUGGAAGGCAAGGAUGGAAUGAUAAAAAAUAACAGUGAAGAGAGGAAAACAGGGCAAGGAUGGAAUGAUAAUGAGACAUGCAACAAUGUUCCUACAAAUGCAGCAAACCUGCUGUUAAAUUUCAACAUGCAUUUUAACCUGGCUUUAACAUCAAUUAAGCCACAUUGCCGUCACAUUGGCCUCAAAAGAAAAGAAGAUAAAAGGCCUGUUGUCUAAGUGGUCAACUUGGGCCAUAAACUCAUUUAUGUGAUCAAUUAAGGCCAAAAGCAAUUCGGACGAAGAAAAACGGCCACGUGGCCGCCGCGUCAGCGCACCUUUGACCGCUCACGAUCUGACUAAUAUUUACAGGGGUUCAAAGUGAAUCUGCAGGGCACGUCCAUCCAGAAUCUGUAGAAAUUCAUAGUGAAAAUCAGGUUUCUGAACGGAGACCCAAACUGACAGUUGAUACAAACAUCUGUACACUGACCUGUUUGUUGAGGGCAUAAACAGCAUCAUACGUUUCCUUCUCUGUUGCCAUCGUGACAAAACCGAAUCCCUGAGAGCUCCAGGUUCCUCCUCUGUGCCUGUAGACGACUCUAGCAUCGACCACUUUGCCGUGCUUGCCAAACAGCUCCUUCAACCAAGAGUCAUCGACUUGCAAAGACAGAUUGCCCACGUAGAUUCUGAAUGGGGACUCGGUUUGAUGGGAAGGAGUUUCCACCCGGGCGCCUCUCCGAGCUGCUUUGUGCACAAUAAGAGGCAUCCCAAACAAUUUCUGUGCACAUAAAAGGUCAAUCAGAACUGCAUUCUUUAGCACAAGCUUAUCUUAUGUAGCAUAUGACUUACACAUGACACUAACCUCGACAAAAAGAACAACUAAAAAAAUGAAUUAUACUAAUGAACACCCUCUCUCAUGCGCAUAGCAUACGAAUGUAUAAGCUGGCAGCGAGUUAACAAAACGAAGAGGACGAUGAAUAAGUUGGCUUCAGAUUAGAUCAUUGAGAUUUCAGAAUGACAAGCUGGGAGCUAUUGCAGGAAGCUAUGUUCCAAUGUAAACUAGGAGCAGCCCAAGCAUAUAGUUCAACUAUGAUCACACGAGCUGUAGGUAAGAUAGAACAAGUUCCUGAAUCCCGAUAACAUCUUUUGGUGCGCACGCUCCAUUGGGCCCACACACCAAAAAUUCAAUAAAUGUUUUGAAAAAAAAACAUUGCACGGGCGAAUUACUAAAAUAUGUGAGUUCGCAAAAUUUCCCAUAAAUUUAUGAGUUUUGUUAAGCUGUCAAAGAAAAACUAGAUACUCAUGCAUUUGUCAUUUUGACCCAUCUUUCUGGUUUCAUUUGUGCAGGACACAAACUUUUUUUAAAGAAUAUUUUAAACUCUUGAUAGCAGUAUUUAUAAUUUAAAGAUAUAGGGUACAGUGGAGCUCAGGCUCUCUAAACAGGUUCCUUCAACUUUAUUUAAAUUCAGAAAAAUAUAAGGACACUAGCCCCAUCAAAUUAUUGGUAUUAUUUAUCAAAUGUACUCACAAAGCCAUCGAACAUCUCCACAGCCAGCUCAGCCUCCUUAACAGUACUCAUGGUGACAAAUCCAUAUCCUCGGCUCUGGCCUGUUCCUCGGCUGUAAAUACCCUAGGCAUAAAAGAUGUAGAAGUUGUGUUUCAGAACAAAGAGAAAACCAGACAAUAUGCACGCCUGACAAAUUAACAGCAGUAGCCGAUCCGAGUGGCAAAACAUAAAUCUGACAUUGCGUGUAUUCAACAGCAUCUCCAGAUAGCACAAACAUCCUUUGCAAACCAAAACAUUAUCGCAAAGCAAUCUGGUGCAAAUUCAACAUAUCACACAAGAAGCUUAGAAAGCAGCCACCUAGAUUCUAGUUGAUCUACCCCGUGAGCUUCAACAGCGCACAUCAUGGCACUACAAUCAUACAGGAAACUGCAUCGUGUUGCAGAAGUGGUUACAGGGCCAAUUUCAGCUGUGCAUACAUUAUUAAGGCGUCAGAACUUAACACAAUUUUUCACAUAUCGAUGAGCAUACAAAGAUAAUGAAGAUCUAAGUGGCUUACCUCUGAGAACUCAACAACACCGGCUUGCUCAAAGAGCUCGGUGAGGUCCUCGCUGACAACGUCGUAGUGUAGGUUCCCUACGUACACGUUAGGUGUGCAUUCUUCGUCUUCUUCCUCCUGGUACGGCACUUGUUGGCAAGGGGUGGCGGUGCGAGUGACCCGAGCGGUGUGAGCAUUGCCUCUACCUCUUUCAGCUCUUGUCAAAGGAGAUGCUCUUACUGCACCGACAGUUUGCCCUGCAUUCGGUAAGACUGUAAGGAGUAUAUCUCUGUUAGUUUCGGUGCUCAGCAUUCAGAAGAGAGCUUCCAUUAGCAAGAGACUAGUGACCGAAACCUGGCAUGGAAGAUGGAUGUGACUGUGGGGCUGAGACUUGAUGAUGUACAUCUUGCUGUGUUGGUGGCGCCAUUGGUGGGUGCACGGCAUUCUGCCAUUUUUCUGAAAGAGAUGUUGUCAGAUGCCCGAGCCUGAAUCUCUGCCUCAGUAUUUUCCUGCUCAUUUCGUCAUCGGUACCAUGACAAUGAUCAUCAGUCGAUAGACCUUUACCCCACUAUUUGCAUGGAGCUGGAACAUCGCAUACAAAACAGUAGCACUGCAUUUGAAGAAACAAAAAUCAAGUCACUGUUGUGCACACUACUCUGCUACGGGUGUCGGUGUACUAGAGUAGGGGUAUCCUAGUAUCUCGAACUUGUGCACGGGCAGUCGCAGCGUCCCGCGGCAAGGCUUGCCAGGUGACCGCCAAGGUCCUCUGUGGUUCCUUUGGAGCCAUUCAAGAACAAAGUAUUCAAGCCAAAGAGACAAGACCCCGGCAAGAGGAGCUUGUCGGGAAGGCCAACCAAGACACCUUAAGACCCCGGCAAGAGGAGCUUGUCGGGAAGGCCAACCAAGGCACCUCAAGACCCCGGGAAGAGGAGCUUGCCGGGAAGGCCACCCAAGGCAUCUCAAGGAACUUGCCGCGGCGCGCCGCGCGCCCCGGCAAGGCCCGGUGAGCGACAAGCUCCCGGACGCGACAAGACAACGACCGCGGCAAGGCGCUUGCCGCGGCAAGCCACCACUCUGUGCCCGCGCUCCAGCACAUCCACCAACGUGUCGCUCUGGGACCCUUCCAGGCGUGUGUGGCGGGAGGCUGUGCAGCCAGCGGUGCGCGGUGGCAAGCGGCGCUGACAAGAUUGCCAUCGUGGCAAGCGGUGGCGUCCCUGGCGGUCCCUUUUGCACUGUUUAGGCGACACAAACGGGCAUUUAAUGCCCUUGUCCCCUACCGUCAGGGUUAGGUAUGAUACACUGUAGCAGGUAGCUGUACCUACCGCAGCACCUUUACAUUUUUACCCUUGUCUACGUUGCCACCUGUCGGUGACCCCUUGAGCAUAUAAAAGGAGGCCCAUGCGCAACGUAGAGGGGGGUUGGCUGGUUCGAGAGACACUCACGCUCGGUCUCGUUAGCUGCUCGUGUGUACUGUAGCACUCCACGCUCCCGAGCAAGAACUCAAUACAAACCACAAAGCAGGAGUAGGGUUUUACGCAUCCGUGCGGCCCGAACCUGGGUAAACUGCUUGCGUGCCUCGCCUCGAUCCGCUCUUUGCGCAACCUCCGCCCUCACCGAAUCGAAAGGGACUCGGCCCGCCGGUCCCAUAGGUGUUCGUGGAUCAGUCCCCCGACAUCUUUGGCGCGCCAGGUAGGGGGGCGUCGAGGUUGUGUGAACCAGAUCCGGCGUUCUCGCGAGCUAGAUCUUCAUAAUCUUCAUCGACAUGCCGCCGAAGAAGAUGGUUUCGGAGGCGGCUGCUCUGUCCGCGCCGAACCCACCACCGCCGGAGCAAACGACUGGUGGGGCAGACGCCGACGGAAGAACGGGCGUCGACGAGGGAGCUCGCGGUGCUGCCAGGUCCAAGGACAAGGCCGCGCUACCCAUCGGCGGCGUAGCCGGCUCCCACAACGACCGGGCGCACUCCAAGACCUCGGCGUCCGUACAUGCACCACGCCCAUCUCAGGAGGUGCGGGACCGGCAGCGUCAUGGUACUCACGGUACCAUGCGUUUGCUGGACCAAGAUCGAGCUGGCGGAUCUCGGAGUGCUCAAGACCAGCAUGCACGCCAGCAUGCUGGCACGAGCGAGGCGCGGUCGCCUGGACGAGAUAUUGCUCCUUCUAACAUAGUUAGAAGUCUGAGCAUAUCCCGCUCCUCGCACCGUUCGCCACCGCCACCCGCCACUGCGGCAUAAGCUUUGGCGCGAGCUCAACUGCUCCUAGACUACCCUCCAACGGCGGACAAGAUCGACGACUGGAGGGCCACCAUUCAGAAUCUCAUUGGCUUCGCCAACGGCGACACUCAACGGCAGUCGAGCACGUCACAGCCGCGGCAAGUCAGCCAGGCACAAGCCGGUGGCGACAAGACCGGUGGGGGUGCAACCACUGUGCACUCUCCGCCCCGAAGGCCAAGAUCGCCGACUCGCCGGAUCCACCUCGACAGCGACUCCACCGCGUCAUCAGAUCCAUGAGCUCGCCGCGAUCAGCGCCAAGUUCUUCAUGAACGACAACAAGAAGACGCUCGUACUCGCAUCGAGCGCCGAAGAGAAGCGCGACGUCAAUCAGACCAGCGCGCUGGGCCCUCUGUCGACAUGCAUGCGCCAGGGGAACCAGGCGACUUGCCGUACGCGGUAGGUUGCCCUGCGUUCACUCGUGAGCUGCGGCAAGUCCAGUGGCCCAGCAUGAAGAAUUUCAAGCCAGACGUACCAGAGAAGUACGACGGCAAGUCGCAUCCGUCGGAGUUCCUCAGCAUCUACACCAUCGUAGUGCAGGCUGCCGGGGGGCGGGACGACAAGAUCCUUGCCAACUACUUCCCGCUGGUGCUCAAGCCCAACGUCAGGUCCUGGCUCAUGCACUUGCCGGACAACUCCAUAUCCUCCUGGGCAGACCUAUGCCAUCAGUUUGUCGGCGCCUUUAUAGGCGGCCACAAACCUCAUGGCCAAGAGAGUGACCUUCAUCUGCUCGCCCAGAGGGAAGGACAGCCCCUGCGCAAGUACAUUCAGAGAUUUAGCCGUGUACAGCACAACAUCCCAGAUGUCCACCCUGACGCGGUCAUCAGUGCGUUCCAUCAGAAUGUGCGUGACCGCAGGAUGCGGGAGGAGAUGGCGAUGUGCAAGAUCAGAGACGUCAGUGAGCUGUAUGCCCUGGCCGACAAGUGUGCACGUGCUGAAGAAGGGAGAAGACUCCCCGGAGAGAAUACAGGAGCAGAAGGAUCUGACAGUGAGGAUGCUGCCCCGGCCAAGAAAAACCGGCGGCGGAACAGGAAGAAGAAAGGCAAAGAUGUACUAGUUGUUGAGCAGUCCGGCAACGAAGGUGGCGCCAAUAAAGCCAAAGUUGGUAGCUCCGGCAAGGAGAUUGCCGCAUGCACCAACUGCCAGGCUGUGGCGGUCGCCGACAAGCAGGACGGCUCCGACAAGCAGUACUGCAAGAUCCACCGCACCAAGGGCCAUGACCUCCAGAGCUGCAAGAAGGUCGAGUAGCUUGUCCAGCAACAAAAGGCUGAGUACGAGCGACGCGACAAGGAGAGGGCCCAAGGUGGCGAUGGAGAAUCCGGCAAGAAGCGCGCCGGCCGGGGAGGACGCCGCGGCAAAGCCAAGCAGCGGCAAGGAGACAGACCUCCCCGCGGCCGCGACAAGGACGAAGAUGACGACGACGAUGAAGACAUGGAUGAUGUCGAGACCAGUGAGCAGGAGUUCCAGAAAGCCACAGAGGUCUUGUGCGUUGAUGGUGGUGCUUCUCUGCAUACUUCGCACCGCCAGCUCAAGCAGUGGGUGCGGGAAGUCAAUGCAGCGGAACCACCCGUCGAAUCACGCAAGCUUCUGAAAUGGUCCAGCACGCCUAUCAUCUUUGAUAUUGAGGACCACCCUGAUCGCACAACCGCAGUCGGGUGCUUGCCGAUGUUGGUUUCACCAACUAUCCGCAACCUCAAGGUCACUAAGAUGUUAGUUGACGGCGGGGCCGGCUUGAACCUGAUCUCCUCCGCUGUACUCCAGAAACUCUAAAUCCCUGACAGCGAGCUCGAAGAGACCGGCACAUUCCAAGGAAUCAACCCGGGAAGGAGCAAGCCGAAGGGGAAGGUCACGUUGCCAGUAACAUUUGGCAGCGAGCUGAACUUCAGGACUGAGAGAGUCACUUUUGACGUUGCCGAUAUUCCAUUACCUUACAAUGGGAUACUUGGUCGUCCAGCACUCGCCAAGUUCAUGGCAGCCUCUCACUACGCAUACAACAUGCUGAAGAUGCUAGGCCCGAUAAGCGUCAUCUCUGUCCCCGGCGACAAGAAGGAUGCCCUUAUCUGCGCCGACAAGAUCUACCGGGAAGCGGCAGCCGCAACAGACCGCAAGUCACUUGCCGCUGAAGCUCCCGGGAGGAAGAAGACCAAGUCCGGCAAGAGUUCUGAUGCCCACUCCGGCAAGCGCACCUCUUCGGAGUGCUGCGCUGCCGUCGAGAACGCACCAUCGAGCUCCACCGGCAAGUAUAAGAAGACGAUGACAGCUCCGCCAGAGACGAAAAAGGUGUCUGCAAAGGAGGACGGCACUGGUGGUACCUUCACCAUCAGUGCCACUCUCGACCCUAAAUAGGAAAGCGCGCUCAUUGCUUUCCUGCGGGCAAAUGUCGACGUGUUUGCGUGGCAACCGUUUGACAUCCCCGGUGUUCCCAGGAAAGUAAUUGAGCACCAUCUUGCCGUUUGUCCUCAUGCACGGCCCGUCAAGCAGAAGGUCAGGAAGCAAGCAGUGGAGCGCCAAGAAUUCAUUGCAGAAGAUAUCAAGAAAUUGGAAGCAGCAGGCCUUGUCAGAGGAGUGCUCCAUCCUACGUGGUUGGCCAAUCCUGUAGUCGUGCGCAAGGCAAACGGGAAAUGGAGACUUUGUAUCGAUUUUACCGAUGUUAACAAAGCUUGUCCCAAAGACCCAUUUCCUUUGCCGCGCAUUGACCAGAUUGUUGACUCCACAGCCGGAUGUGAUUUGCUUUCAUUUCUUGACGCAUACUCAGGAUAUCAUCAGAUCUUCAUGGCAGAAGAGGAUGAGGAGAAGACCGCAUUUAUUACUCCAUGUGGCACGUACUGUUUCGUACGGAUGCCUUUCGGAUUAAAAAAUGCUGGUUCAACAUUUGCAAGAGUAGUCCAUGUCGCUCUCGAACCACAAAUACACAGAAAUAUGGAGGCCUACAUGGAUGACAUAGUGGUCAAGAGCAAGGACAGAGCAACUCUGAUUCAAGAUUUAGACGAGACCUUUGCAAAUCUGCGCAAGAUCAACCUUAAACUCAACCCCGAGAAGUGUGUGUUUGGAGUCCCCUCCGGCAAGCUUCUCGGGUUCUUCGUAUCUCAGCGAGGAAUUGAAGCCAAUCCCGACAAGAUCAAGGCCAUUGAGUAGAUUGAAGCACCCAAGCGCGUCAAGGAUGUACGAAGACUUGCCGGUUGCGUGGCUGCUCUCAGCAGGUUUAUCUCUAGGUCUGUUGAGCGCGCCCUGCCAUUUUUCAAAUUAUUGAAAAAGGCAGGUCCAAUGAAAUGGACUCCAAAAGCAGAGGCUGCGCUGCAGGACUUGAAGAAAUACCUGUCCUCCACUCCAAUACUUGUCGCACCUAAGCCACAAGAGAAGUUGCUGCUGUAUAUAGCGACAACCAAUCAAGUGGUUAGUGCUGCGUUAGUAGCGGAGAGGGAGGCAGAUGACGAGCCAGCAACCACGGCAGACGCAUCCAGCGACAAGCAGGGGGCUUCCCCGGCAAGCUCUGGUCCCGAUAAAGAUGGGUCUGCGCAGAUGCAGGAGGAGACACAGAAAAAAAUGAUGCAGCGCCCAGUUUACUUUGUCAGUUCCCUUCUGCAGGGGGCUAGGUCAAGGUACUCUGGUGUGCAGAAAUUGCUUUUCGGCCUUCUCAUGGCCUCGAGAAAGCUGCGCCAUUACUUCCAAGCACAUGAGAUCACAGUUGUCACUCGCUUUCCGCUGAAGAGGAUACUACAGAAUCCAGAAGCGACAGGCAGGAUUGUUGAGUGGGCACUGGAACUGUCAAGCUUUGGCCUCAAGUUUGAAAUUACUUCAACUAUCCAAAGCAGAGCAUUGGCAGAAUUCAUAGCAGAAUGGACGCCAACACCAGAUGAAGAAAUUCCAGAAACGAGCAUCCCCGUCAACAAAGCGACCAAAGAGUGGCUGAUGUACUUUGAUGGUGCCUUCUCGCUGCAAGGCGCCGGCGCUGGCGUGCUGCUUGUCGCACCCACCGGAGAGCACCUCAAGUACGUAGUCCAGAUGCACUUUCCCAAGGAGCAAGCAACAAACAAUACUGCAGAGUAUGAAGGCUUGCUUGCCGGUCUCAGGAUCGCGGCAGACCUUUGGGAUCAAGAAGCUCAUUGUCAGGGGUGACUCGCAGCUUGUCGUCCGCCAAGUGAACAAGAGUUAUCAGAGUCCGUUGAUGGAAGACUACUUCGACGAAGUGAGAAAUCUAGAAGAGCACUUUGACGGCCUACAGAUGGAGCAUGUUCCAAGAGCUCAGAACGCCAUUGCCGAUGGCCUGUCAAAGUGCGCCGCACUUAAGUUACCUGUGGAACCAGGGAUUUUUGUGCUCAAGCUGACACAACCGUCUGUAACGCCAUCAACUGGACAGAGCAAGAAGAGGAAGUUGAUUUCUGGUGACUAUUUGCCGGCAGAGCUCCCCGAAGCCGCCGCCAAGAAGGUCCCCAAGAUCAACGCCAAGAACGCUGAGGAGCAGUCUGCUCCUGCAAGCCCUAGGGUUUGUUCCGUUGAAGCAGAAGCUCCCGACAAGUUUUGCUCUGGCAAACUUGCCGGGGAACGUCAAGCUCCGGCAGAACCGCAGAUUCUUGCCGUAGAAGCGGACUUUCCCGCAGCAACAGAUUUGCCUUGCGCUGAGGAGCAAUAUGCUCCGGCAAGCCCUAGGGUUUGUUCCGUCGAAGCAGAAGCUCCCGACAAGUUUUGCUCCUGCAAACUUGCCGGGGAACGUCACGCUCCGGUAGAGCCACAGGUUCUCGCCAUUGAAGCGGAUGUUCCCGCAGCAGCAGAUUUGCCUUUAGUCCUUGUUGUCGAGCCGCAAGCUCCAGCAUGGGCACAGCAGAUUGUCCGUUUCCUUUAGACAGGAGAACUUCCCGAAGAGCAAGAAGAAGCGGAAAAAGUAGCCCGGCAGUCAAGUAUGUACCAGUUUGUUGA
rnacentral:lncRNA from 1 species